rnacentral:rRNA from 1 species
UACGUAGGUGGCAAGCGUUGUUCGGAAUUACUGGGCGUAAAGGGCGCGUAGGCGGCUUGGUCAGUCCCGUGUGAAAUCCCUCGGCUCAACUGAGGAACUGCACGGGAAACUGCCUGGCUUGAGUUCGGGAGAGGGAAGCGGAAUUCCGGGUGUAGCGGUGAAAUGCGUAGAUAUCCGGAGGAACACCGGUGGCGAAGGCGGCUUCCUGGACCGACACUGACGCUGAGGCGCGAAAGCUAGGGGAGCAAACGGG